AAGCCAAUUCUUUCGGCUAGACUUAAUGCAUUUGGUGGAUUAUUUAUAAUCUAUCCAUCUGUUAUCAAAUGUUGUUAUCUUUUGUCAAUUACUCGAUAUGGUUUUCAAAAGAAGAUUGAGUAUGAUAAACAAAUGUUUUGUCGUCUUACGACAGGCAUGUGAGGUUGACACAAAUUAAACGUACAUAUGUUUAAUGAAUGUAGUGUUGAUCAACAUAGAGUACUAUAGGCUGAUCACCUAGAAGUGCUCGUAAGUAAUACCGGACUUACGAACUUAGUGUCGGGUUGUCCUUUUCAAAGAAAGAAUGAAAUACUCAAGGUCUUGGACCGAAGUUUAUGUUUUACUGGAUAUUAUUCAUUGUAAAACAAUUUGAAAGACAGAUGAAGUGCUAUUUUGAACUAUCAAUAGUACUUCAUAACUAUUGUUCAGUUAUUGAAGAUAUACGAUUCUUAUGUGUCAAGCAUGUUGUUAUUGAAUUGUCAUACUUGCUGAGCUAGUUAUGCUCACUCUUGCUUGAACCACAUGAAUGCAGCUAAGACUAAACGUCCCGAAGGAUCGAAUAAGGAUAAAGGAAAGGCUAAGGAAGAUCGUUAAUCGGUCUAUGUAAUAGUAUAGGUUUAUUGUUGUAAUUGUUGUAAUGUAUUUUGAUAUUAUGAUAAAGAACCUUUGUAAUGGGUAUAGAACCUGGAAAAUGUAAAUAUUACUUUGAAUAUAUAGACGUCAUGUUCGUUAUUUUGAGGCUUUUCAAUUGAAUGAAUGGUAGUACCGUAUUGCACCAUAUGUCGGGUUGGAAGAUACCCGGAUUUGGGGGCGUUACAGGUUGGUAUCAAAGCAUAGGUUAUAAAACUUAAGGGGGAAAUUAGAACCUUAAGUCAUAACCUUAAGAAAAGUCAAAGAAGUAAAAGAUGGAAAGUAACCCUAUAAAAAUGCAUUAUAAUUAUGUUAUGUAUUUUUAUUAUUUUACUGACGUGUACUAAUCAAACUAUAUUGUUUUGUCGUGGAUGUCAGGAGAAAAUGAAAUGUAUAGAGAUAUACAUGUAGUAAGCGAGGAUUCGGUAAAUCGGGUAGAGAUACUACCAAAUCCCAUACAGUAGAACCAGAAGUGGUGGUAAUCGAGUCUAGAGACUUGGACAACUUAGACUACAUGUCUGUAUUUGAUGGCAUGCUAGAGGAAGAGGUGGAUAUGAUGUCUUUUGACCAGAUAGCACCUAUAGAAGAGUUGACUAUGGGGGAGUCAAUGAAGGCACUAUUCAUGUUAGUAUUGGAUCGAAACGUCCAAUAUUUUAUGGAGGUUAAGGAGUUAAAAGAGGAACUCCAAGCUGUCCGGGAGGACAAGACUAGUAUGGAGGGUAUGUGGGAAGAGGAGCAUGAUGAUAGAAUUUUAGUCAAGGACAAGGUCCACGAGCUGAAAUGCGAAGUC
rnacentral:lncRNA from 1 species